UUGAUUCAUUUGUAAAUGGACUCAGAAUUCCACGGUUAACAGAGUUUGAAAAUCCUCCGGCGGACGCUCUCCAGCCCUAGGGCCGGCGGCGGCGUGACGCCGCCGGUCCGCCAAAGCAACCAUCAUAAGUCAACAUCGGGUGGGAGUAGAGGCCAGAGGCCCCGUUACUCGGUAAUGAUCCUUCCGCAGGUUCACCUACGGAAA
rnacentral:misc_RNA from 1 species